AAUUACUUGAAAUUCAAAGUUAAAAUUCUUCUCUACUUCUGGAUUAUAAGUUUCUGUAUAUUGGAGGCCGAAGUAAUCUUCUUCAUUUUUUUGGAAACCGCUAAAAAAUUUGAUGCCUUUGCAAUUUUUCACUUUAUAUACAUCUGUUUUGCAAUAUAUGUUUUUCUUAUAGUUUAUGGGAAUUGUAAAGGCCUGAAAUAUUGUCCUACCAAAAAAAUUCAGCAGGAGAUUGGAGCUGAAAAUAGUGAGAAUUAAUUCAAUAAUUUCCCGCUGUCAUGUUUGGGCCUGAAUGUACAUUUUAAAUAAACUGCUUAAUUAUAAAUGUAACAAGAGAGAACGCUAUCGUCGAGUUCCUCGACCAUCUGAUACCCGUUACUCA